rnacentral:rRNA from 1 species
ACUGAGGAACGAAAGCAUGGGUAGCGAAGUGGAUUAGAUACCCUCGUAGUCCAUGCCGUAAACGAUGUGUGUUAGAUGUUGGAAAUUUAUUUUCAGUGUCGCAGCGAAAGCGAUAAACACACCGCCUGGGGAGUACGACCGCAAGGUUAAAACUCAAAUGAAUUAACGGGGACCCGCACAAGUAGUGGAGCAUGUGGUUUAAUUCGAAGAUACGCGCAGAACCUUACCAACACUUGACAUGUUCGUCGCGACUUUAAGAGAUUAAAGUUUUCGGUUCGGCCGGACGAAACACAGGUGCUGCAUGGCUGUCGUCAGCUCGUGUCGUGAGAUGUUGGGUUAAGUCCCGCAACGAGCGCAACCCUCACUUUUAGUUGCCACCAUUCAGUUGGGCACUUUAAAAGAACUGCCAGUGAUAAGCUGGAGGAAGGUGGGGAUGACGUCAAGUCCUCAUGGCCCUUAUGUGUUGGGCUACACACGUGUUACAAUGGUACUUACAAUGGGAUGCAAAGAGGCGACUCUUAGCUAAUCCCUAAAAUGUACCUCAGUUCGGAUUGUACUCUGUAACUCGAGUGCAUGAAGCUGGAAUUGUUAGUAAUCGCGGAUCAGCGCGCCGCGGUGAAUACGUUCCCGGGCCUUGUACACUCCGCCC